rnacentral:rRNA from 1 species
GACGAACGCUGGCGGCACGCUUAAAACAUGCAAGUCGAACGUGAAGCCCGGGCUUGCCCGGGUGGAAAGUGGCGAACGGGUGCGUAACACGUGAGCAACCUGCCCCGAAGACCGGGAUAACACCGGGAAACCGGUGCUAAUGCCGGAUGCCUUCACCAUGUCGCAUGGCGAGGUGAAGAAAUGGAUUCCGCUUUGGGAUGGGCUCGCGGCCUAUCAGCUUGUUGGUGGGGUAAUGGCCUACCAAGGCAACGACGGGUAGCUGGGCUGAGAGGAUGUCCAGCCACACUGGGACUGAGACACGGGCCAGACUCCUACGGGAGGCAGCAGUUGGGAAUCUUGCGCAAUGGGCGAAAGCCUGACGCAGCGAUGCCGCGUGCGGGAUGAAGGCCCUCGGGUCGUAAACCGCUUUCAGCAGGGACGAUUAUGACGGUACCUGCAGAAGAAGCCCCGGGCAACUACGUGCCAGCAGCCGCCGUAACAC